GUGCUUCAGCCGCACACAUACUAAAAUUGGAACGGUACAGAGAAGAUUGGCAUGGCCUCUGUACAAGGAUGACACACAAAUUUGUGAGGCGUUCCAUGUUUUU
ensembl:snRNA U6 U6 spliceosomal RNA